UGAGCUGGACAGACAGGCGGCUCCAGACUUCUGCACUUCUUCUCUUGAUGAGCACCAUGACUUUGACCCCAUGACCUUGACUCCAGGUGACCUGAGACUGUCAGCCCACCAGCCUCAAAGACAAUGCCUCAUUAUGGACCAAGAGGUGACUCCCGUACAAGACCCUAUGUGUAUGCGCGCGCAUGGGAGGCUGGGAUCCUCAGAGGCGGACACACUGUCUGCCUUCAUGUUAUGAUCGCUCAGACAGAGACUAAUGACUGGGAAGUUGAGGACAGGAGGGCACAUGAGAACACAUUCAAACUGUACCUGCAGCAGAGAGGAGAGGUAAGGUACGGUAAUAAGGUAAGCUACUGUAGGUAAGGUAUGGUAAGGUUAGCUACUGUAGGUAAGGUACGGUAAGGUAAGCUACUGUAGGUAAGCUACGGUAAGGUAAGCUACUGUAGGUAAGGUAUGGUAAGGUAAGCUACUGUAGGUAAGUUAUGGUUAGGUAAGCUACUGUAGGUAAGGUAUAGUAAGGUAAGCUACUGUAGGUAAGGUAUGGUAAGGUAAGCUACUGUAGGUAAGUUAUGGUUAGGUAAGCUACUGUAGGUAAGGUAUAGUAAGGUAAGCUACUGUAGGUAAGGUAUGGUAAGGUAAGCUACUGUAGGUAAUGUAUGGUAAGGUAAGCUACUAUAGGUAAGGUACAGUACUGUAUGGUAAGGUUAUGUGCUUCAUAGUAUUUUGGUAUCUUGGGCCAGAUCACAUUUUGUCAGUCUCCUUGCCUCUUACUGCACUCUCACAUAGAGAUUACAGACACUGAGGUACACAGCUUAAACCUAACUAGUAUUGCCAAACAUGUGUCUGAAAUAAACACCUUAGGAUUAUAUCGUAUAUGUAUCAACUCUCUAUACGAGUGACAGUAUCACUGACAGCCUUAAGGACACCUGACACAGGUGGCAGUUGAGGAUAACACCUGAUUAAUGCCCUCUGUUCCUUUUCAACUUCCUGUCUUCCUCACCACAACAAUGUUUGGAGGAGCUCACUCCAAACUAAAGCACCACUGUUUUAAUUGGAGGAAAAAGGGACAAAAAAGUGGGGAAAUUGAGAGCGACACGCCUCUCUGUAGAUCUGAUUGAAUACAGAAACAAAACAAGACGGAAAGCCAAAUUGAGUUCAAUCCAAGGUCAGGUGUGCAGCUCUCUCUACAUCAGUCAGAGAUUUCCCCUAAAAAAGUUAAGGUGGUUGUGCCCUUGUUCUGACCCCUACAAAGCGGGUGGAAAGAUGGCUUCCUGUUAAAAGUUUAUCUGAGGGUACGGAAGAUUACCGAGGAUAUUUUCAUUGGCCGCUUUCUCCUCGUCUCCCGUACUUAGAGGUGAUAAGAUCGUAAUUAUUUAUUGUGCCUUUUCUUCAGGUAAUUUGCUAUGUUAAUUUCAUGAGCUUGAUGUUGCCUUUGUCACUAGGUCGAGUGUUAUUCUUCUGGAACCCCGGGGCAGAGAGAAGAAAGGGGAUUUGUGUACUUAGCAUACGCUUUCUCCAAAUUAGUCAGCCUUGAAAAAUUAUUUAUGUGGUAUUCUGGGCUGCAUUGGAACAACUAAUUUCACUUGCACUGUGUGGAAAUUAAAUUAUAUUAUUUCACCAUAAAAUCAGCUUCUGUUUGCUACACCUUUCCCUGUUUGUUUGUGAUAAUGCUUUGUUAUAUGUGACAGAUCUGUGCUCCUAUACAUGCCGUAGGGCAAUGAAGGGAUUUCCUUUAGUUCGGUUUUACACACAAAGGGAUUUUUUUUUUUACUGAAUUCAUAAUCUCUGUUUUUAUAAUUCAAUAACCUGAAGAAACACACAUUUCCAGACAGUCAGGAAAUGCUAGUGUCAUGUCAGUAAAAUAUUAUAAAUUCUUGUUGAUAAUGAUGGCCUAGGAACAGUGUUCAGAGUGACAGAUUUUUACCUUGUCAGCUCGGGAUUAGAUCUAGCAACCUUCCGGUUACUUGCCCAACGCUCUAACCACUAGGCUCUAACCACUAGGCUCUAACCACUAGGCUCUAACCACUAGGCUCUAACCACUAGGCUCUAACCACUAGGCUCUAACCACUAGGCUCUAACCACUAGGCCACCUGCCGCCCCAAUAACACUUGACUAAAAUACAGAAAUCCAUCUAAAUUCCAUGUGUCUGUAUUUUGGUGUUCUACACCUCUUCCUCUUCCUUCCAAGUCAAGUUCGUUAAGUGAUCGAACCCAAUGGAUUGAAGACCAUCAACCAGCACAGUGCUCUCACAACCACCAAUCACGUGGUGAGGGUCAGGACAGGCCCAUCAGCAGCAGCAGCACACCAUCUCCAAAACCAGCCAGUGACAGCACAGUGCCCAGUGUGCUCCUCUUGUUGUGUAUAUGUACUGUAUCUGUAACUGAUAGAUGCACACACACACACACACACACACACACACACACACACACACACACACACACACACACACACACACACACACACACACACACACACACACACACACACACACACACACACACACACACACACACACACUACAUGUUAAUGUUUUUAAAUGUAUCUAAAUUGUAAAGUAUUUAGUCUGUAAUGUGUUUUUUCAUGUCGGAUCCCAGUAAGACUAGCUGUCGCCAUUGGCAUCGGCUAAUGGGGAUCCUGAUAAAAUCUCAUCAGAUCUUAAUCAACACCCAUAACAGCCUAGAGUGAAGAUACGAUGUGGCAUCAGAAUAUUACUAUUAUUAUUUGAAUAUAGUGUAAGGGACAUUAGAGGGGGAUUUUACCUAGAUAAAGCUGUCUGUGUGAAAGAGAGAUUCUGUGUCAAGAUGUCCAUGGAUUAUUCAUGUGUAAUUACUGAAAGCUUUCAAACAGUUUUAAAUCACCAAUCCACCCUCCUCCCCAAACCUACCUCCACACUCACCAUUAGUUCCUAUAAGAACUGAAACAGCAAUUAUCAUAGGGCGGGUUUUAAGUGCAGGGCACGAUCGAUAUUGAUAAAUGUUGAAAAUGCAGAAUGAAAGACAGAGCGAGUGAGGGAGAUAGAGAGAGAGAGAGAGAGAGAGAGAGAGGGAGACUCAUAAAUCUAAGCAGGGCACAUAAAGGAAAGGCACGACCGAAAAAAGGCUCCAACCUUGAUUUACACAAACUUCCUUCCUUCUGUCACUUCAGAGAGAGAAAGAGCAGGAGACAGACAGUGAGUGAGAGAGAUUCUCUAUUUCACUUGUUUUGGCAAUGAAAACAUACAGUAUGUCUCCCAUGCCAAUUAAGCCCUUUGAAUUGAAAUGUAAUUGAGAGAGAGAGA